CUACAGAGGUUUUUUUCCAAAAUGGGUGGCAACAUAAUCUCCCGAUCGACCAUUCGCCUCUUUCGACAUAAGCAUAGUGUGGGUCUAUAAGACUCUACGGUUGCCGAUUUAUCGGUUUUGCUACAUUUUUUAUUGUCAGAUAUUUUGUGUUUGGUUAUGUGCAUUCUAGUUAUAUAGAGGCGAGUGUUAGUUAUAAUGUUUUGUAUCCGCUUGAUGCUACAUUGAGAUAACAAAAUUGAUAUUUAUCAAAAAAUAUACUUGUUAAUUUUUCCUUUGUGUGAUUAAUUACACACCCAAGACCUAUUACCUUAUUAUUGUUCCACAAAAAUUAAGAACACAUUACUGCCAUGCCAAGUGAGUAGUAACUAUGAAAAAGAUUAACAACAUAAUGAGAUGCUCAUCUAUUAAGUUAAAUUUAUGAGACAAUUUGUGGUUUAGGUAAUCAUAAAGUGAACAAAUGUUGUCGGGUAAGAUGAUUCUGAGUUGAAUAUGUGAAGCUACGCAUCAAAGGUAUACUAUUAAUAUUAUAAAAGUUUGGAUCAAGAAGAACUGCGGUGACGAAUAUCUAGGAUAAAUUGCAUGAUGUAUUUACUUAAUAAAAAAAAAGAGGAAAAACACUCAAAGAAGAACCAGCUAGAUGGUGGAAGUAAUUGUACAUCUUCAUAUUUAUUUUCAAUUAAUAUGUAUAUAUUCCAUUGGAAUCUGCUAGUGAAACAUGCUAUUAAGGGCCUGUUCGGCAACUGCCCACCUUCCAUAAAUCCUCAAAUCCAGCUUCUCGAUCUCACUUCCAACUUCCGGACGAAAAUCGUGGAUGAGAAAAACCGUUCGACAUAGAAUUCCCAGAUUCCAGAUCGCUAGUCCUGGGCUGAUAGCGGCUUGGCCCAAUAAACUCGAUCCUGGCCUGGUAGAGAGCGAAGUUACCUGCUCCGUUCUAUUCUUUCCUUAUACGAACCGUUUUGUUUCACUUCGCGGUGGCAUUUUUCUGUAAAUAACUUUAACUCCAGCUCCUCGUUUUCUAGGAUCGUCAAAACACCAGCUCCUCGUUUCUACACUACAACCCGCCUUAAAUCUGGGAAGCUAGCUUCUGGGAGCUGACCCGUUCGGCCUAGCCUCGCCCGCUGAUUCAGAGAAGCCAGGAGCUGGGCAGUUGCCGAACAGGCCCUAAUAGUACGAGAGGAACAUGCCAAUCACUGUAGGAUUAGAUUGGAGCCAGCUAGAGGCACCCAAUAUAGUGCACCAAGGAUCAACUUGCACCGUAUUUAAUUUCUUUGCGAUUAAUCAGAGCGGGAACAAAGAUAGGCAUCCGCCAUACAUAUAUCACCAUGUUUUUGCCAUGGAAUCGAACAGGUUGAUUCCCAUAUAUUUUGCAUCACCACAUUUGGCUGCUCCAAGACCUACACUUAAGAAGGGGUUAUUGAGCUAACACAUGUUUUCUUUUACAUAUAUCAACACGCUCUUGUGUUAGAGGAAAGACUGGCAGCUACCAGGUUGUGCCAAGUUCACGCAGUUUAUCACUCUGUUUGCCAAUGCCAAGCUCCCGUACCAGUUACAUGGUUGGUUAAGCGGUUAUUGGUACACUCUGUUAGGUAUCAGUAUUGGCUUGCAAGGUUUGCCUGGGUUGGCAGUGCGCGUAUAUUCCAAGUGCCUCACAAUCCCAUUGACAAACAUUAUACCUAUGCACAGCUAGUUCAGGAACAACUUCAUAUGCAUUACCUAUGCACAA
rnacentral:lncRNA from 1 species